rnacentral:rRNA from 1 species
AUGCAGGCGGCGGUAGCGGCGUCGGCGUGGGUGCCGACCACCUCGCCGUCUACCUCCUCCUUCAAGGUUGGGGUCUCGUCGCGCUUGCGUGGGAGGAGAACGCCCUCUGCCGCGGCAACUUCGGUCGCCGUGUCCACUCGCCAGCCGCUGGAAGUUGUUCGACCCAUUGCCGACCCGAAUCCGGUGGUCGAUUCACCAUUAACCGCUGAAAAUGUGGAGCUUGUUCUGGAUCAAGUCCGGCCGUAUCUCAUGGCAGACGGCGGCAACGUUGCCUUGCAUGAGAUCGACGGGAAUGUGGUGAGGCUCAAGCUGCAAGGAGCAUGCGGGGCGUGCCCAAGCUCGGUGAUGACCAUGAGGAUGGGCAUUCAGCGGCGUUUGAUGGAUGAAAUACCAGAGAUUGCUGCAGUUGAAGCUAUCACGGACAAGGAGGCUGGGCUUAAGCUGAACGAAGAGAAUGUUGAAAAGGUACUCGAUGAGAUCAGGCCAUACCUCACCGGCGCAGGAGGCGGUAAUCUCAGGUUUGUCGCGAUCAACAAAUUCUUCGUGAAAGUCCAACUCAAGGGCCCUGCAGCAGGUGUGGCGGCCGUCCGAGUUGCUGUAGCACAGAAGCUCAGAGAGAAGAUCCCAUCCAUCGCAGCUGUCCGGCUAUUGCCGUAA